AUACGUAGGUUGCAAGCGUUGUCCGGAUUUACUGGGUGUAAAGGGCGUGUAGGCGGAGAUGCAAGUUGGGAGUGAAAUGCAGGGGCUCAACCCCUGAACUGCUCUCAAAACUGUAUCCCUUGAGUAUCGGAGAGGCAAGCGGAAUUCCUAGUGUAGGAGUGAAAUCCGUAGAUAUUAGGAGGAACACCGGUGGCGAAGGCGGCUACCUGGACCGAUACUGACGCUGAGACGCGAAAGCGU
rnacentral:rRNA from 1 species